GGCGGGGGUGGUGCUCGGAGCCGUUGCCCCGGCGCAAGCGGCGCGCUCGGGCGGUAUCGCGCCCUACCCUCCUGGUUGCCCUUCGGGACUGGAAGAGCCCUCUUGGCACCGUGGGGCUUGUCUGUGGGUGCCGCGGGAGCGCUGACUUUCCCUGCGUCCAUGAGUCUCCGGGUCCGCGGGAGAGUCUGAUGGCGUCGCCUGGCAGCGGCCACCGUCAUCCUCCGGGAGCGGUACUGCAUUGACUUUCAGGUGUGUGAGAAAUCACUGUGGCCCACAGCAACCAGUAGGUAAGCAGCAGAAGAAAACUUCCCACCACUUUCUGAUGAGAUUUUUCUCAGUUUCUAAGUUGAUUAAUGUCC
ensembl:lncRNA